rnacentral:rRNA from 1 species
CCUACGGGUGGCAGCAGUCGAGAAUCAUUCACAAUGGGUGAAACCCUGAUGGUGCGACGCCGCGUGGGGGAAUGAAGGUCUUCGGAUUGUAAACCCCUGUCAUGUGGGAGCAAAUUAAAAAGAUAGUACCACAAGAGGAAGAGACGGCUAACUCUGUGCCAGCAGCCGCCGUAAUACAGAGGUCUCAAGCGUUGUUCGGAAUCACUGGGCGUAAAGCGUGCGUAGGCUGUUUCGUAAGUCGUGUGUGAAAGGCGCGGGCUCAAGCCGCGGACGGCACAUGAUACUGCGAGACUAGAGUAAGGGAGGGGGAAGCGGAAUUCUCGGUGUAGCAGUGAAAUGCGUAGAUAUCGAGAGGAACACUCGUGGCGAAGGCGGGUUCCUGGACAUUAACUGACGCUGAGGCACGAAGGCCAGGGGAGCGAAAGGGAUUAGAUACCCCAGUAGUC